UGGGUAGUCGCUGCCCCUGUGGAGA
rnacentral:piRNA from 1 species